CCCCUAGAUGUUCUGGGCCGCACGCGCGCUACACUGAACAGUUCAACAAGUCUUAACCUUGGCCGAUAGGUCUGGGUAAUCUUUGAACGCUGUUCGUGAUUGGGAUAGACCUUUGCAAUUAUGGGUCUUCAACGAGGAAUUCCUAGUAAACGCAAGUCAUCAGCUUGCAUUGAUUACGUCCCUGCCCUUUGUAUACACCGCCCGUCGCACCUACCGAUUGAAUGGUCCGGUGAAAUCCUCGGAUCGAGCCGUGGGGCAACUCCGGUUCGAGAAGUUGAUUAAACCUUACCAUUUAGAGGAAGGUGAAGUCGUAACA
rnacentral:rRNA from 1 species